rnacentral:rRNA from 1 species
UACGGGGGGGGUAAGCGUUGUUCGGAAUUACUGGGCGUAAAGGGCUCGUAGGCGGCCAACUAACUCAGACGUGAAAUCCCUCGGCUUAACCGGGGAACUGCGUCUGAUACUGGAUGGCUUGAGUUUGGGAGAGGGAUGCGGAAUUCCAGGUGUAGCGGUGAAAUGCGUAGAUAUCUGGAGGAACACCGGUGGCGAAGGCGGCAUCCUGGACCAACACUGACACUGAGGAGCGAAAGCCAGGGGAGCAAACGGG